AUAUGCCUUGAGUUGCUCUUCAGUGAAUAUCACUUUUCCUUUCAUGUUUUUUCUACAUGCUAUUAUCUGUAUGAAAUGAAGACCAAGAAAGGAUGGGAAGAAGGAGAAGAAAAAUUUUGAUUUAUCUCAGAAACUAUACUCCGAAGUGAGAGUCCUGGUUGCAGCAUCCUUCACCGAAGCACGAAGCAGAAUCAAGCUGUUGCCAUGAAGCUUGUUUCAAGAGCUCAGAAAUACUCCAGGGACUCCUUUACUACUGCUUUUCAAAGAGGCCUUUUUUUCUCUCUUCUCCUUUUCCUGCAAAGAGGGUUAUAUCCAGUGCUCAAGGACAUGGGAUUAUCAGCCUAAGGCAUGAGUACAUGCUGUGGAAACAGAAAUAUGUAUGAAGGGAUGUAUGAAACCACAGAAUAAAUGGAAUCCACAUUCUUGAAGUAGCUACAACUCUACUUGAGGUCCCAAGGCACGUAGAUAGUACCUAUACAUCUCAUCAGGAACAUGGAUGGUUCUCUGCUAUCAGCUGAAGUGCUGUGACCACAAAACUGAAAAUUCCCAUUCUGUGUCCUUGCCAAUAAAGAAUGUCCAUCAGAGCACGCCCAGUAUCCUAGCUCCUUAUCCAGACUGUGCUUCUCAAUGUGACAAGGAAGACUGCAACCCUAUUUGCUUCUGAUAACCUUCCUAUGACUAAGUCUUCUCUGGUUGAGAUUCCUGGGGAGGACACUCAUGACAAUUGUGGUUUUUGGAGGAUCUAUCUUUAGGCAGCUAAAAGGAAGUUCAGAGAAAGCCCCUUCCUAUACUUCGCAGGAGAAAAAAGAGGUGUGCUACAACAACAUGACCCCAGCAAGCAAGAUUAUUUCUGUGCACUGAUAGGAAAAGGAAGCAAGCCAUGAGUGCCUGUUGAAGCUGGAAAAGCAAGAUUGAUGUUGAGGCUUGAUUGAAGGAGUGCAAGGUCACUCACAGAAGAAGUCAUGGUGCAAGAGUACAUCUCAAUCCUGCCCUAGCCUGGAAACAGCAUGCUCUGCUGCAUUUGCAUGCCCAAGGCACUGCUUGUCCUAAGCCCCAUCCUAGAAACUCUCUAUAGCUUUAUUUCCCUUAAGAAGGUAGAAAAACAUCAACAACCUAUCCGUACUAGCUGAAUGGCCUCUAGGCCUAUUGGGCAAGUACACCCAGAUGAGCAUCACUCUUAAGUGGCUGCUUCAGGUCAAGGUCUUUUGUGUUGGGGCAGCUGCAAACUGGCCUCUUUGGCUAUCCCAAGACCCUCUAAGUCCAAGGAGCUUUCAACCUCUAGUGAUGUUCAAUCUCUGUAAAGCUGUGUAAUGGGGGAUAAACAUUAAAGUUGUUUCACAUUUAAAAAAAAA
ensembl:lncRNA LINC02208 long intergenic non-protein coding RNA 2208